CCCCUAGAUGUUCUGGGCCGCACGCGCGCUACACUGAACAGUUCAACAAGUCUUAACCUUGGCCGAUAGGUCUGGGUAAUCUUUGAACGCUGUUCGUGAUUGGGAUAGACCUUUGCAAUUAUGGGUCUUCAACGAGGAAUUCCUAGUAAACGCAAGUCAUCAGCUUGCAUUGAUUACGUCCCUGCCCUUUGUACACACCGCCCGUCGCACCUACCGAUUGAAUGGUCCGGUGAAAUCUCGGGACGGCGGCUUGGUCGCUUGCGUCCGACUGCUGAAACUUGAUUAAACCAUNUNAUUUAGNGGAAGGUUAANUCGUANCA
rnacentral:rRNA from 1 species